rnacentral:lncRNA from 1 species
AUUUCAGUUUUCUUUAGGGCAACAUAUAUUUGAAUUUAAAAGCACUUUAUUUAAAAAAAAAAGAAGUUUUCAGUUCUGAAGAAGUCAUUUACAGUUUGCAUCAUUUUAAUUAUGAGUCUGACAAAACCUUCUCCAGAGAAUCAAGCAAGACCUGGAUGUGAAGAAGGUUUGGGUAAACUGCAUGUAAAGGCUACAAAUCACAAUCUGAUUCCUCCCAAAUAUAAAGGCAUAUGGAACAUAAUGUAUUAACCAAAGUAUGUUAUAAAUCAAAAAUGGUCAAGGUUCAGCAUAUUCUAUAUGAAGAUCACAAGGACAUAAUUUAAAAAUAUACUGGAUUUUGGCCAGGUGUGGCAGCUCAUGCCUGUAAUCCCAGCACUUUGGGAGGCCAAGCAGGGAAGAUUACUUGAGCCCAAGAGUUGAAAACCAACCUGGACAACAUGGUGAAACCCAGACUCUACAAAAAAUGCAAAGAUUAGCUGGGUGUGUUGGCAGACGCCUGUGGUCCCAGCUACUCAGGAGGCUGAGGUCGGUAGGACUGCAUGAUUCCGGGAGGUCAAGGCUUCAGUGAGCCAAGAUUGCACCACUGCACUCCACCUUGGGUGACAGAGCUGGACACUGUAUCC